UGAGUUUGAUCCUGGCUUAGAAGGAACGCUAGCUAUAUGCUUAACACAUGCAAGUCGAACGUUGUUUUCGGGGAGCUGGGCAAAAGGAAAAGAGGCUCCUAGCUAAAGUUGUCUCGCCCUGCUUCAAAACUACAGAGUGCGCGCUACGGCUUUGACCUAACGGCCUCCGUUUGCUGGAAUCGGAAUAGUUGAGAACAAAGUGGCGAACGGGUGCAUAACACGUGGGAAUCUGCCGAACAGUUCGGGCCAAAUCCUAAAGAAAGCUCAAAAGCGCUGUUUGAUGAGCCUGCGUAGUAUUAGGUAGUUGGUCAGGUAAAGGCUGACCAAGCCAAGGAUGCUUAGCUGGUCUUUUCGGAUGAUCAGCCACACUGGGACUGAGACAUGGCCCGGACUCCCACGAGGGGCAGCAGUGGGGAAUCUUGGACAAUGGGCGAAAGCCCGAUCCAGCAAUAUCGCGUGAGUGAAGAAGGGCAAUGCCGCUUGUAAAGCUCUUUUGUCGAGUGCGCGAUCAUGACAGGACUCGAGGAAGAAGCCCCGGCUAACUCCGUGCCAGCGGCCGCGGUAAGACGGGGGGGGCAAGUGUUCUUCAGAAUGACUGGGCGUAAAGGGCAUGUAGGCGGUGAAUCGGGUUGAAAGUGAAAGUCGCCAAAAAGUGGCAGAAUGCUCUCGAAACCAAUUGACUUGAGUGAGACAGAGGAGAGUGGAAUUUUGUGUGUAGGGGUGAAAUCCGUAGAUCUACGAAGGAACACCAAAAGCGAAGGCAGCUCUCUGGGUCCCUACCGACGCUGGGGUGCGAAAGCAUGGGGAGUGAACAGGAUUAGAUACCCUGGUAGUCCAUGCCGUAAACGAUGAGAGUUCGCCCUUGGUCUACGCGGAUCAGGGGCCCAACUAACGCGUGAAACACUCCGCCUGGGGAGUACAGUCGCAAGACAAAAACUCAAAGGAAUUGACGGGGGCCUGCACAAGUGGUGGAGCAUGUGGUUUAAUUUGAUACAACGCGCAAAACCUUACCAGCCCUUGACAUAUGAACAACAAAACAUGUCCUUAACAGGAUGGUACUGACUUUCAUACAGGUGAUGCAUGGCUGUCGUCAGCUCGUGUCGUGAGAUGUUUGGUCAAGUCCUAUAAUGAGCGAAACCCUCGUUUUGUGUUGCUGAGACAUGCGCCUAAGGAGAAAUUGCCACCGAGUGACGUGCCAGUGCUACUACUUGAUUGAGUGCCAGCACGUAGCUGUGCUUUCAGCAAGAAUUUCACCAUUGGGAGCCGGUGCCUUUUGAAGCACUUUCACGUGUGAACCGAAGUCGUCUUGCCCAAGACCCACGGAGACCUACCUAUAGUGACGUCAAAGUACCAGUGAGCAUGGAGGUUUAGUUGAAAUUGGUUACGACAACGUCGAGUUGGCGGCGGAGGAAGACUCAGCAUGACGGCCAGAAAAUGGUGUGGAACAUAGUGGUAAUAGUACGCGCCCCGCUCCGAAACAAAUAAAAAGGUGCGUGGCGCACUCACGAGGGACUGCCAGUGAGAUACUGGAGGAAGGUGGGGAUGACGUCAAGUCCGCAUGGCCCUUAUGGGCUGGGCCACACACGUGCUACAAUGGCAAUGACAAUGGGAAGCAAGGCUGUAAGGCGGAGCGAAUCCGGAAAGAUUGCCUCAGUUCGGAUUGUUCUCUGCAACUCGGGAACAUGAAGUUGAAAUCGCUAGUAAUCGCGGAUCAGCAUGCCGCGGUGAAUAUGUACCCGGGCCCUGUACACACCGCCCGUCACACCCUGGGAAUUGGUUUCGCCCGAAGCAUCGGACCAAUGAUCACCCAUGACUUCUGUGUACCACUAGUGCCACAAAGUCCUUUGGUGGUCUUAUUGGCGCAUACCACGGUGGGGUCUUCGACUAGGGUGAAGUCGUAACAAGGUAGCCAUAGGGGAACCUGUGGCUG
rnacentral:ncRNA from 1 species